rnacentral:rRNA from 1 species
UUGCACGAGUUUAGACUCGUGGCGAAAAGCUCAGUAACACGUGGUCAAACUACCCUACGAAGACCCAUAACCUCGGGAAACUGAGGCUAAUAGGUCAUAGGAGAGUCACGCUGGAAUGCCGACUCUCCCAAACGCUCAGGCGUCGUAGGAUGUGGCUGCGGCCGAUUAGGUAGACGGUGGGGUAACGGCCCACCGUGCCGAUAAUCGGUACGGGUUGUGAGAGCAAGAGCCCGGAGACGGAAUCUGAGACAAGAUUCCGGGCCCUACGGGGCGCAGCAGGCGCGAAACCUUUACACUGCACGCAAGUGCGAUAAGGGGACCCCAAGUGCGAGGGCAUAUAGUCCUCGCUUUUUCCGACCGUAAGGUGGUCGGCGAAUAAGGGCUGGGCAAGACCGGUGCCAGCCGCCGCGGUAAUACCGGCAGCCCAAGUGAUGACCGAUAUUAUUGGGCCUAAAGCGUCCGUAGCCGGCCAUGAAGGUUCAUCGGGAAAUCCGCCAGCUUAACUGGCGGGCGUCCGGUGAAAACCACGUGGCUUGGGACCGGAAGGCUCGAGGGGUACGUCCGGGGUAGGAGUGAAAUCCCGUAAUCCUGGACGGACCACCGAUGGCGAAAGCACCUCGAGAAGACGGAUCCGACGGUGAGGGACGAAAGCUAGGGUCUCGAACCGGAUUAGAUACCCGGGUAGUCCUAGCUGUAAACGAUGCUCGCUAGGUGUGGCACAGGCUACGAGCCUGUGCUGUGCCGUAGGGAAGCCGAGAAGCGAGCCGCCUGGGGAAGUACGUCCGCAAGGAUGAAACUUU